UACGGGGGGGUGCGAGCGUUGUCCGGAAUUAUUGGGCGUAAAGAGCUCGUAGGCGGUCUGUCGCGUCGGAUGUGAAAACCCAGGGCUCAACCCUGGGCCUGCAUUCGAUACGGGCAGACUAGAGUUCGGUAGGGGAGACUGGAAUUCCUGGUGUAGCGGUGGAAUGCGCAGAUAUCAGGAGGAACACCGAUGGCGAAGGCAGUUCUCUGGGCCGUAACUGACGCUGAGGAGCGAAAGCGUGGGGAGCGAACAGG
rnacentral:rRNA from 1 species